rnacentral:rRNA from 1 species
UACGUAGGGGGCGAGCGUUGUCCGGAUUUAUUGGGCGUAAAGAGCGUGUAGGCGGCCAGAUAGGUCAGCUGUGAAAACUCGAGGCUCAACCUCGAGACGUCGGUUGAAACCAUCUGGCUAGAGUCCGGAAGAGGAGAGUGGAAUUCCCGGUGUAGCGGUGAAAUGCGCAGAUAUCGGGAAGAACACCCGUGGCGAAGGCGGCUCUCUGGGACGGUACUGACGCUGAGACGCGAAAGCGUGGGGAGCGAACAGG